CGGACCCUCGGCGGACAGGUGGUCGGCGUCGGGGUGCGGAGUACCGGGAGCCCUGAACCGCCCGCUGCUCGGCGGAUCCCAGCUGCGGUGGCGACGGCGGGAAGGCGCUUUCCGCUGUUCCUCAGCGGGCCGGGCCCUUGACCAGCGCGGCCCGCAGGUCUUCCUUCUCGCCGUCUUGCAGUUGAAGAGCUACAUACGUAGUCAGUUUCGAUUUGUUACAGACGUUAACAAAUUCCUUUACCCAAGGUUAUGCUAUGACCUUUCCGCAGUUUACUUUGAUUUUCUAUGUUUAAGGUUUUGGUUGUUGGUAGUAGCCGAAUUUAACUGGCACUUUAUUUUACUUCUAACCUUGUUUCCUGACGGUGUACAGAAUCAACAAAAUAAAACAUUUAAAGUCUGA
rnacentral:lncRNA from 1 species